GUUGGAGAGAGAGAUGCGUUUGUGCCAGGUGUGGUUGAUCAACCAAAAGUCUUCAACCACUGGACAGCUGCAUUUAGAACUAUCGUCAAAAAACCAUAAAAUUUGAUUGUCAGCAUUCCAAGUUCAUGAUGAGGGUAGCUGCAACAGCAGUAUGCCAUUCGUCUGGUCUCCAUUCAUGAAAGCUGUAAUUUGUCAGACUGAAUAUAAGCAAACCUGAAAUCGGCAGCAGAGCUUCAACAAAGAGCUGGAUUCAUGAGGCCAAAUCACAGUGUAUUUCCACCACAAGCAGGGAUCUUUGGAACGGCAAGGAAACAUCAUUAGUUGGUUGUAUAGUAUCUGAACCUCUUUGGAUUUGCUUGAAUUUCUUUUGAAGUUUUCCUUGAGAAAGAACCUCUACAUUUGAUGCAAAGCUCACAUUGGGUGAAAUAUGAUGAUAAUCCAGGGAU